AGAGUUUGAUCCUGGCUCAGGACGAACGCUGGCGGCGUGCUUAACACAUGCAAGUCGAACGGAAAGGCCCUUCGGGGUACUCGAGUGGCGAACGGGUGAGUAACACGUAGGUGAUCUGCCCUGCACUCUGGGAUAAGCCUGGGAAACUGGGUCUAAUACCGGAUAGGACCGCAUGCUUCAUGGUGUGUGGUGCAAAGCUUUUGCGGUGUGGGAUGAGCCCGCGGCCUAUCAGCUUGUUGGUGGGGUAAUGGCCUACCAAGGCGACGACGGGUAGCCGGCCUGAGAGGGUGACCGGCCACACUGGGACUGAGAUACGGCCCAGACUCCUACGGGAGGCAGCAGUGGGGAAUAUUGCACAAUGGGCGCAAGCCUGAUGCAGCGACGCCGCGUGAGGGAUGACGGCCUUCGGGUUGUAAACCUCUUUCAGUAGGGACGAAGCGAAAGUGACGGUACCUACAGAAGAAGGACCGGCCAACUACGUGCCAGCAGCCGCGGUAAUACGUAGGGUCCGAGCGUUGUCCGGAAUUACUGGGCGUAAAGAGCUCGUAGGUGGUUUGUCGCGUUGUUCGUGAAAACUCACAGCUUAACUGUGGGCGUGCGGGCGAUACGGGCAGACUAGAGUACUGCAGGGGAGACUGGAAUUCCUGGUGUAGCGGUGGAAUGCGCAGAUAUCAGGAGGAACACCGGUGGCGAAGGCGGGUCUCUGGGCAGUAACUGACGCUGAGGAGCGAAAGCGUGGGUAGCGAACAGGAUUAGAUACCCUGGUAGUCCAA
rnacentral:rRNA from 1 species